AUGGCUUUAGUGUUAAUGGUAGCACGUUGGAUUCCAAAUCCAAAAGUGAGAGUUCGAAUCUUUCAGGCUAUG
rnacentral:tRNA from 1 species